AGAGUUUGAUCCUGGCUCAGAUUGAACGCUGGCGGCAUGCCUUACACAUGCAAGUCGAACGGCAGCACGGGGGCAACCCUGGUGGCGAGUGGCGAACGGGUGAGUAAUACAUCGGAACGUGUCCUGUAGUGGGGGAUAGCCCGGCGAAAGCCGGAUUAAUACCGCAUACGCUCUACGGAGGAAAGGGGGGGAUCUUAGGACCUCCCGCUACAGGGGCGGCCGAUGGCAGAUUAGCUAGUUGGUGGGGUAAAGGCCUACCAAGGCGACGAUCUGUAGCUGGUCUGAGAGGACGACCAGCCACACUGGGACUGAGACACGGCCCAGACUCCUACGGGAGGCAGCAGUGGGGAAUUUUGGACAAUGGGCGAAAGCCUGAUCCAGCAAUGCCGCGUGUGUGAAGAAGGCCUUCGGGUUGUAAAGCACUUUUGUCCGGAAAGAAAACCUCCGCCCUAAUAUGGUGGGGGGAUGACGGUACCGGAAGAAUAAGCACCGGCUAACUACGUGCCAGCAGCCGCGGUAAUACGUAGGGUGCAAGCGUUAAUCGGAAUUACUGGGCGUAAAGCGUGCGCAGGCGGUCCGCUAAGACAGAUGUGAAAUCCCCGGGCUUAACCUGGGAACUGCAUUUGUGACUGGCGGGCUAGAGUAUGGCAGAGGGGGGUAGAAUUCCACGUGUAGCAGUGAAAUGCGUAGAGAUGUGGAGGAAUACCGAUGGCGAAGGCAGCCCCCUGGGCCAAUACUGACGCUCAUGCACGAAAGCGUGGGGAGCAAACAGGAUUAGAUACCCUGGUAGUCCACGCCCUAAACGAUGUCAACUAGUUGUUGGGGAUUCAUUUCCUUAGUAACGUAGCUAACGCGUGAAGUUGACCGCCUGGGGAGUACGGUCGCAAGAUUAAAACUCAAAGGAAUUGACGG
rnacentral:rRNA from 1 species